rnacentral:rRNA from 1 species
CUAACUCCGUGCCAGCAGCCGCGGUAAUACGGGGGAUGCGAGCGUUAUCCGGAUUCAUUGGGUUUAAAGGGUGCGUAGGCUGUGCGUCAAGUCGGGGGUGAAAUUCCGGUGCUCAACACCGGGGCUGCCCUUGAUACUGUCGCGCUGGAGUGCGGAUGCCGCCGGAGGAAUGAGUGGUGUAGCGGUGAAAUGCUUAGAUAUCACUCAGAACACCGAUUGCGAAGGCAUCUGGCGAAUCCGUAACUGACGCUGAGGCACGAAAGCGUGGGGAUAGAACAGGAUUAGAUACCCUGGUAUUCCACGCCGUAAACGAUGAUGGCUAACCGCCGGCGACACACUGUCGGUGGCCAAGCGAAAGCGAUAAGCCAUCCACCUGGGGAGUACGUCGGCAACGAUGAAACUCAAAGGAAUUGACGGGGGCCCGCACAAGCGGAGGAACAUGUGGUUUAAUUCGAUGAUACGCGAGGAACCUUACCCGGGCUCGAACGGCACCUGGAUCGCCCAGAGAUGGGCGAGUCUUCGGACAGGUGUCGAGGUGCUGCAUGGUUGUCGUCAGCUCGUGCCGUGAGGUGUCGGCUUAAGUGCCAUAACGAGCGCAACCCCUCUCCUUAGUUGCCAUCAGUUGAAGCUGGGCACUCUGGGGACACUGCCACCGUAAGGUGUGAGGAAGGGGGGGAUGACGUCAAAUCAGCACGGCCCUUACGUCCGGGGCGACACACGUGUUACAAUGGCGGCCACAGAGGGAAGCUACCCCGCGAGGGGAUGCGGAUCUCGAAAAGCCGUCCCAGUUCGGACUGGAGUCUGCAACCCGACUCCACGAAGUUGGAUUCGCUAGUAAUCGCGCAUCAGCCAUGGCGCGGUGAAUACGUUCCCGGGCCUUGUACACACCGCCCGUCAAGCCAUGGAAGCCGCGGGCGCCUGAAGUCCGUGACCGGAAGGAGCGGCCUAGGGCGAAAGUGGUAACUGGGGCUAAGUCGUAACAAGGUAGCCGUACCGGAAGGUGUGGCUG